UACAGAGGGGGCAAGCGUUGUUCGGAAUUACUGGGCGUAAAGGGCGCGUAGGCGGCCUUCUAAGUCGAACGUGAAAUCCCCGGGCUCAACCCGGGAACUGCGUCCGAUACUGGAAGGCUUGAAUCCGGGAGAGGUGAGUGGAAUUCCGAGUGUAGAGGUGAAAUUCGUAGAUAUUCGGAAGAACACCAGUGGCGAAGGCGGCUCACUGGACCGGUAUUGACGCUGAGGUGCGAAAGCGUGGGGAGCAAACAGGG
rnacentral:rRNA from 1 species